rnacentral:lncRNA from 1 species
GUGAAUUUGUUGGAAUUAGAUGGAUUCAUCAUAGUCACUUUGGCUAUUUCAUGAUCAUGAGGUGUUUUCCUUAGCAGUUUUUUUUUUUAUUAAUACCAAAUGAGAAAUAUAAAAAAAUUUUCACACUUCAUUCAAAUCAGUUUCAAAAUUUGAGGAAAAAUUGAAUGAAGAGAAUGAGAGGCAGAAGUUUAAAAGCUUAAAUAUCUCCCUUCCCCUGACCGCUCCUACACACACAAACACAGACACACUUACACACAACUCACUAGAUUAGGUACCUGUGAGUAUGCUCUUCUACCCCUUUCCAUGUCUCUGAACAGCAUUUAGUAGACAGUAUUGUCAAGAGCACUUGACUGUUAACUCCUAAAAGACAGGAACUGUUUGGUGUUCUUCUCAAUGCUGGUCACAGUAAGUGCUCGGUAAAUAGUGAACUCAGCUGAAUAGCACAUUCCCUGCCCUCAAGAAAGUUAUGUUUGAGUGGAGCGAAGGAUCAUGUGCAUAGCCAACUAGAAUAUUAAGCAGAUGUACUCGUAAGCCAUGAUGGAUAUGAUAGCAAGGUAGGAUUAGGAUUAAUUAGAUCUGAUUUGCAGAUUGAAGACAGCUCAGGUGUGCCUUGGAGGUUUCCUGGAGGUAACAGCAGAAGAGCAGCUUGAAGAAAGGAAAAGAGAAAGCCUAGAGCAGGAAGUGGCUCAAGAAGAAGGAACAAGCCAGGCCCUGAGAGAGGAGGCCCAGCGAAGGGAUUCAGCCCUGCAGCAGCUGCGCACAGCCGUGAAGGAGCUUUCAGUGCAAAACCAGGACUUGAUUGAGAAGAAUCUGACACUCCAGGAACACCUGCGCCAGGCCCAACCAGGGUCUCCACCUUCACCAGACACGGCCCAGCUGGCACUUGAGCUGCACCAGGAGUUGGCCAGUUGCCUUCAAGAUCUGCAGGCUGUCUGUAGCAUUGUGACCCAGAGGGCCCAGGGCCAUGACCCCAAUCUCUCCCUGCUCCUGGGCAUUCACUCAGCACAGCACCCAGAGACUCAGCUAGAUUUGCAGAAGCCAGAUGUGAUCAAGAGGAAACUAGAAGAGGUUCAACAGCUGCGUCGUGACAUUGAGGACUUAAGGACCACCAUGUCAGACAGAUAUGCCCAGGACAUGGGAGAAAACUGUGUCACACAGUGAGGAAUUCUGGGGGAUUCCCCCAGGGAGGAGCUGGGCUGCUGAGAGCCUAGUCCAGCAGGUUUCUGCCCUGACAUUCUCUUGUCUGCUAUUCCCAGAGAGGUCUCAGAGGGGAGGGGAGAGCCUGCAUCUGGGGGCCAAGGGCUGAUUAGGGAACUGUGUCCUACCCACACUGGCAUGUUGGAUUACGUUUGUCCUGUUAAUUCACUCUAGACGGUGAGUUACUAAUUAACUUUUGGCAGGUACAACAGAUAAGUCCUCACAAACUGUUCCCAGCCCUAGGCUGACAUGAGAGACGAACAGGCUGUCCACCUUUCUUCUCCAUCCAAUGGGAUGGAUCCAUGUUCAUUCCCACUUCACACCUUGGUCCUGCUGAUUAGAGAGCUCAUCAGAGGGGCCUGGAAAGGCUGAGCAAGUACCAGUGACAAUGGCCAUUUAAGAAUUCUCAGGCCCCAUGUGCCAGCCUUCUUGGGAACUGAGCUGGCUUUCUGGGUUUUCUCAUGCCUGGUCUUACUGCUUCUUCCUCAGGGCUCUUGUUCUCCCAGAAGCCUCAGGGUAAUGUGUUGGUUAGCACGUAACUACUAGGAUUGGGGCCCUAGGGAUUAUAGCCAGGACUCUAAUCUGCCUACCAUGCCAUUUAACAAGAGAUCCCACUCUCCAGCUGCCUUGUGUCCCUAGGGUCCUGGCCAUGUGUUUAGUGUGCUAAACUUUCUCCUUUGUUCUCAGGCCUUCCAGGUAGUCCCCUUCCUGGACUUAAGAGUGCAAACUCUUCUCUGUGGUUCUAGCCUUGGGCAGAAUUAUAUCCCAGAGACCACAGAGCAACUGUCAAGCUGCUUACCCCCUCACCCAGGGCUACAGCCUGUGCCCAGCCCUCUAAUUUGUGCCUCUCUUGUGUUGGGGGUGGUGGGGGUUAUUCCUUUCCCUUUCCUGCUCUGGCCUCCUUGAAAGUUCAGAGUACCCAGUACAAGUCAGCUUUAAAGUACAGCUUUUAGUGUUUCCUGGGUUGUUUCUCUGGGGCUUUAGUGAGGGACCUUUGCCCUCUGGUUUUUCUUGCCUCCUGGUUUAGGGAGCAUCUCACACUUGUUAGUAUCUGGUUGUUGGGCCAGCCGUGCCUCCUCUAGAUCUGGAGCCAGGCCAGGCAGGGGCCACGUGUGGGCCAGUCAGCCACUACAAGAUUUUUGCUAAGCUUUGGGCUGUUGGCAGCAUCUUGGACCUCAUGCCUGGGCCUGAAUGAGGCUCUUUCUUAAGUGUUUUUACAAGUUUGUGUUUUAUUUAUGGAGUGACUUAUCCCUUCCAUUCAGAGCAGCCCCACCCAGCCAGCCCUUCAGCCUCUGGGCUCCUGCUGCUUAAAGGCAGAGCCGCCUGGUUGGUCUCCACCCUGUGCAUUGGGAGCCCAGCCACCAUGCUGACGGGUAUUUUUCCUCAUAAAGUUUAUAACCAGUUAUUUAUAUGAAUCUUUGUUAUGUCCAUUUGUUUGUAUUGCGUAUUUUGAUUAUAAAAUAAAGUAUCUUAACAGA